rnacentral:tRNA from 1 species
ACGCCCGUAGCUCAGCUGGAUAGAGCAACGGCCUUCUAAGCCGUAGGUCCCCUGUUCGAACCAGGGCGGGCGUA